rnacentral:rRNA from 1 species
AAAAGGAGGAUCCUGGCUCAGAUUGAACGCUGGCGGCAUGAAAAACACAUGCAAGUCGAGCGGCAGCGGGUCCUUCGGGAUGCCGGCGAGCGGCGGACGGGUGAGUAAUGCCUCCUCAAUCUGCCUGGUAGUGGGGGAUAACUCGGGGAAACUCGAGCUAAUACCGCAUACGUCCUACGGGAGAAAGCGGGGGAUCUUCGGACCUCGCGCUACCAGAUGAGCCUAGGUCGGAUUAGCUAGUUGGUGAGGUAAAGGCUCACCAAGGCGACGAUCCGUAGCUGGUCUGAGAGGAUGAUCAGCCACACUGGAACUGAGACACGGUCCAGACUCCUACGGGAGGCAUCAUUGGGGAAUAUUGGACAAUGGGCGAAAGCCUGAUCCAGCCAUGCCCCGUGUGUGAAGAAGGUCUUCGGAUUGUAAAGCACUUUAAGUUGGGAGGAAGGACUGUAAGUUAAUACCCUUGCUGUUUUGACGUUACCGACAGAAUAACCA